AGUGAACGCUGGCGGUAGGCCUAACACAUGCAAGUCGAACGGCAGCACAGUAAGAGCUUGCUCUUACGGGUGGCGAGUGGCGGACGGGUGAGGAAUACAUCGGAAUCUACUUUUUCGUGGGGGAUAACGUAGGGAAACUUACGCUAAUACCGCAUACGACCUACGGGUGAAAGCAGGGGAUCUUCGGACCUUGCGCGAUUGAAUGAGCCGAUGUCGGAUUAGCUAGUUGGCGGGGUAAAGGCCCACCAAGGCGACGAUCCGUAGCUGGUCUGAGAGGAUGGUCAGCCACACUGGAACUGAGACACGGUCCAGACUCCUACGGGAGGCAGCAGUGGGGAAUAUUGGACAAUGGGCGCAAGCCUGAUCCAGCCAUACCGCGUGGGUGAAGAAGGCCUUCGGGUUGUAAAGCCCUUUUGUUGGGAAAGAGAAGCAGCAGGUUAAUACCCCGCUGUUCUGACGGUACCCAAAGAAUAAGCACCGGCUAACUUCGUG
rnacentral:rRNA from 1 species